rnacentral:tRNA from 1 species
GCCUGGGUGGCUCAGUGGGUUAAGUGUCUGACUUCGGCUCAGGUCACGAUCUCACGGUUCGUGGGUUCAAGCCCUGUUUCAGGCU